UUAUAUGUAUUUUAUCAUAUCUGAAUAUGUUUAUAUUUUGACAAUUUCAGAAGUCAUCAAGGAGAAACCUAAACCAGCACCUGAAAAGAAAGGUAAGAGUUACCGAUAUUGUGGAUUGAUAUGUGCUCAAAUUAAAGACUAAUCUCAAAUUUACUCAAACUCAAAGAUGAUACUAAAGUUUUCUCAUUCUGUACAUAUUUUCAUUAUUUCAGAGACUGAAGUCAUCAAGGAGAAAGUUAAACCAGCUCCUGUAAAGAAAGGUAUGAAUAUCAGUGAAAUCAUCCUGCAUAUGCGUUUUUUUUCCCUCUCAAUGAUGACUGUUGUAUGAUGAUGGUUAUUAUAUUCAUGAAUUAAAACCGUUUUCUAGGGCCUGAAGUUGCUAAAAAAAGGCCCCUGAACUAAAACCCCCAAAUAUUAGAUUUUUUUUUCAACAUGGACCGAUAAUGUGUGCUUUCAUUGUAAAUUUUUUAGAGUUUUAGAGGAGUACAUUGACACUGUAUUAUAUGUAUUUAGACAUCUCUGAAUAUGUUUAUAUUUAAAAAAUUUCAGAAGUCAUCAAGGAGAAACCUAAACCAGUGCCUGAAAAGAAAGAGGCCAAAGUCAUCAAGGAGAAAGUUAAACCAGCUCCUGUUAAGAAAGAAGUCAUCAAGGAGAAACCUAAACCAGUGCCUGAAAAGAAAGCUGACGUCAUCAAGGAGAAAGUUAAACCGGCUCCUGUAAAGAAAGGUAUGAAUAUUAGUGAAAUCCUCCUGCAUAUGCUGUUUUUUUUCCUCUGAAUGAUGACUGUUGUAUGAUGAUGGUUAUUAUAUUCAUGAAUUAAAACCGUUUUCUAGGGCCUGAAGUUGCUAAAGAAAAGGUACCUGAACCGGCACCAAGAAUAGGUGAGAUUUCCACAUACAAAACUGAGAAAAAUAUUUCAUAUUCAAAAGCUAAAGAUGUUAAGAAUGUAUUAAACU
rnacentral:lncRNA from 1 species